GAUAGACGCUGGCGGCGUGCUUAACACAUGCAAGUCGAACGAAGUUUCUCCUUCGGGAGAAACUUAGUGGCGGACGGGUGAGUAACGCGUGGGUAACCUGCCCUGUACUGGGGGACAACAGCCGGAAACGGCCGCUAAUACCGCAUAAGCACUUAGUACUGCAUGGUGCAUAGGGAAAAGGAGCAAUCCGGUACAGGAUGGACCUGGGUCUUAUUAGCCAGGUGGCGGGGUAACGGCCUACCAAAGCGACGAACAGUAGCCGAUCUGAGAGGAUGUACGGGCGCAUUGAGACAGGGACACGGCCCAGACUGCUACGAGAGGCAGCAGUGGGGAAUAUUGCACAGUGGAGGAAACUCUGAUGCAGCGAGGCCGCGAGAGUGAAGUAGUAUUUCGGUAUGUAAAGCUCUAUCAACAGGGAAGGAAAUAACGGAACCUGACUAAGAGGCACCGGCUAAAUACGU
rnacentral:rRNA from 1 species